UGGGGAAUAUUGCACAAUGGGCGCAAGCCUGAUGCAGCCAUGCCGCGUGUGUGAAGAAGGCCUCGGGUUGUAAAGCACUUUCAGCGAGGAGGAAGGUGGUGAGCUUAAUACGCUCAUCAAUUGACGUUACUCGCAGAAGAAGCACCGGCUAACUCCGUGCCAGCAGCCGCGGUAAUACGGAGGGUGCAAGCGUUAAUCGGAAUUACUGGGCGUAAAGCGCACGCAGGCGGUUUGUUAAGUCAGAUGUGAAAUCCCCGGGCUCAACCUGGGAACUGCAUUUGAAACUGGCAAGCUAGAGUCUCGUAGAGGGGGGUAGAAUUCCAGGUGUAGCGGUGAAAUGCGUAGAGAUCUGGAGGAAUACCGGUGGCGAAGGCGGCCCCCUGGACGAAGACUGACGCUCAGGUGCGAAAAGGCGUGGGGGCAGCAAACAGGAUUAGAUACCCUGGUAGUCCACGCUGUAAACGAUGUCGAUUUUGGAGGUUGUGCCCCUUGAGGCGUGGGCUUCCGGAGCUAACGCGUUAAAUCG
rnacentral:rRNA from 1 species